CGUGAGCAAUCUGCCCAUGUCUGGGGGAUAACAGUUGGAAACGACUGAUAAUACCGCAUAAUAUGGUUUGAAGGCAUCUUCUUUCCAUCAAAGAUUUAUCGGAUAUGGAUGAGCUCGCGUCUGAUUAGCUUGUUGGUGAGGUAACGGCUCACCAAGGCGACGAUCAGUAGCCGACCUGAGAGGGUGAUCGGCCACAUUGGAACUGAGACACGGUCCAAACUCCUACGGAAGGCAGCAG
rnacentral:rRNA from 1 species